GUGCUUGCUUUGGCAGCACAUAGACUAACACUGGAACAAUACAUAGAAGAUUUGCAUGGCCCCUGUGCAAGGAUGACACGCAAAUUCAUGAAACGUUCCAUAUUUUU